rnacentral:rRNA from 1 species
UACGUAGGGUGCAAGCGUUGUCCGGAAUUAUUGGGCGUAAAGGGCUCGUAGGCGGUCCAUCACGUCGGGAGUGAAAAGCUGGGGCUUAACCCCAGUCCUGCUUCCGAUACGGGUGGACUAGAGGUAGGUAGGGGAGAACGGAAUUCCUGGUGUAGCGGUGAAAUGCGCAGAUAUCAGGAGGAACACCGGUGGCGAAGGCGGUUCUCUGGGCCUUACCUGACGCUGAGGAGCGAAAGCGCGGGGAGCAAACAGG